UUGCAUACGCAUCAGAGUGAUUUUACAUUAUUUUUCAGGCUGGCAAUCGUCACACCGCAAAGAAAGCUUCAAAACGUGCUGUAAAAUGCGGGAAUUGGCGGCUGGUACGUAAAAUUAAUUGAGUAAAUAAUAUUCGUAAUUACUGAGACAAGGUUGGGGAAAUUUUUAACUAAGAUAAUAGAAAAAUUAAAAAUACGAAAAAUAUAUUAGGACAUUUCAUAAGUUCAUGUUAUUUAUUGUUUUGCUAUUUUAAUUAUAAUGUGAAAUAUUCUCUUAAGUGUUGUGGAAAAAUGUUACCACUAGACUUUGAAUUUAUAGCUGAUCAAUGAAUAUAAUAAAGAAAUAAAUAAGAGAAAAAUUUGUAUAAAGCAGAAAUGUUAAGCUAAAGCAAAAGUGUAAUUUUAAUACCACAACUAUUAUAAACCAGUUUGAAGUCUACGGCCUUAUUCGUAAAAUAGAAAGACUUACAUAAUUGAAAGUUAUUUGCCUAAAACAUGUGUUAAUUUGUUGUACUCGAACAUCAAAAACAAUAGUCCCACGUAUGUAGUAUCUCAAUGAGAUGCCAAAUGCGAACACUUUCCAGGGACGUAUAUUUUUAAUAAUUAUUUAUUAAAGAUAUAUACUGUAGUCCUAUAGUUUUAGUUUAUGAAACAUUGCUAGAUUAAACGAACUUUUAAGUAGAGUUUAAUUAACUUAAUUCUCAAAUUACAAUCUACACCAGGUCUGAAGAAGUUAAAAUAAUCCAUCGUUGCCUCAAACACAAAAAUACCUACAGUGGGUGUAGAAUGUAUUCGUACACCGAUCAAUUUCCUAAAAAACUUUUGUGUGGAAUUGUAGUUUCUUUACUUCUUUUCUUACAAUCAAUGACAUUUUACAUAUUCUCGGAAAUCUCUAAGAUAGAUGUAGUCCAAACAACAUUUGCUAGUUAAUAUAAUUUGUGAAAUUAACAAAAAAAUGCGAAAAGUCGGUAAAAGUAUAGAAGCAAUACGUUUUUGUACGAUUCUUAUGACGAACCAUUUAUAGUAGAGUUUGUAACGUAAACACAUUAGUUUAUUGCUACGUACGAAUUAGAAAACAUCAAAUUUCCAGGAAAGUACUUUUACAGAUGGCUCUAAUAGUGAAAUGGAAAAAGAUCCCACUUCGAAUAACUAAUAAUUCAGUUAAUUUAAUGCUUAGAAGAGUUACAAUGAUUAUAAAAUCAAAAGGAAAUCCCACGAAGAAAGUAUUAUAUACUUAUAAAUUAAUGUAAAUUUCUUUUUUUUUUUUAAAUUAACUCUUAAAAAUUAAACAGUUGUGCGGUAAUAACAUAUAUAUUAAAUAUAUAUAAAUUAAUGUUAUAUAAAUUAAUGUAAAUUUCUUCUUUUUUUUAAUGAAGUCUUAAAAAUUAAACAGUUGUGCGAAUACUUAUUGCUUCAGUAUUUCUAUCGAUUAAUUCUUUUUCCUGUUAAUUUCGCAACUUACAUAAAUAGCUAUUUUUUUUCUUUGUACUCUAUCUAUUCUAGAGAUUUCCGAGAAUAUGUAGGAUGUCAUUGUUUAUAAAAAAUAAAUUAAUAAAGUACAAUUUUACAUAGUUUUUUUGGAAAUUGAUUGGUGUACGAAUACUUUCUACACCCACUGUAGUUACAUUUCUGAUCACAACCAGCCAUUGCCCUACGCAUCUACCAUCUCCCUGCACCUAACAGAGCAUAUUUGCUACUUGCUCAGAGCUACCUCACGGACAUCUGCGAUUUGAGCCAGGGGACAAAUUAAAAUUUAUUUCCGUAGAUCAAAAACGGGAAAUGAUGCAGUAAGAAAUGGGAUGUCCCUUGGCGAACCACGCACGAGCGCAUGUGAACAAUGCAUCAUUUUCCAACGAGGAAUUGUUUACAACAGACAGACCACUCAGCAGCUGAUUGCUCAUGAGCCGUCGAGAGCACAACAAUAUCUAUGUACACUAUAAAUUUUCCUCUCCCACUUGAAUACGUGUAAACGCACUUGAAAAUUUAUGUUUCGCAAUUUUGGAUGGAAGGUUUGUGGAGCCGGGCCAAAUCAACCUUGCAAAAGAGAAAUCAAGGCAAAUCGCCAAAUAGGUUGGCCUUCGGGAGCGAUGGCAAAUGAUAACCUUAAACAAAUAUGACGAUUUCUGUCAAAAAUAAAUUGCAGUCGAUGUAAUUACGUCAAUUUCGGUGGAUUCACAAAUAUUGUUCCUGUCGUAUAGAAAUAAUAUGUACUAUUUUUAAAUGACUACGGUAGAAAAACAUUGGUUUGCUGUAAUCGACGAUUUAACACAGUAGUUUAUUUAGAAGUUCAUUUAUCUUAAUUUUCUUGUCAUUUAAAUUUUAGUAAACUACAUUCUACAUAAUGUAUUAUUUAAACAUUUUAAUACACGAAGACAAUGUUAUUUGUUUUUAGCUGAAGAUAUCAAAUUAGUUAUAACAUUUAGGUUUUGUUGGUCUUUGAGCAAUACAGAAGGGAAUAUAUUUGUUUUGAUUUCUCAAUGUUUUGGCCCAAUCGCGCAGGUUCCCUUCAGGAAACAAACAAGGUCUGACAAGAAACUAAAAAUAUAAAAGUGUUUACAAAGACUUGGAUAUUAGCAUAAUAACAUAAUUAGUUAAGGUUAUUUUUAUAAUACAUAUUUUUAAUUAUAUAAUUAAUAAAGAAAAUGUAUUUUCUUGUGCAAUUAAGCUGUUUUCUAGUUAUUUCAUUUUAGCUUAUCCAAAUUAUUUUUCAAUUUAUUGUUAUACCUUCUGUUGCUUUGUUGAACCACUUUCUUAGACAUUUCGAAAUUAAUUAUAUUAUUGUUCUGCUAUGUAUAUCUCUCCAAACAUUUUUAUAGCUUUAGUUUUUUGUAAGAGUUUCGUCUUUUAAAGAGGAUUAAUAUUAUUAGGACAGAAACAAAAUUAAAAUAAAUAAAGUAGAAAAAGGAUAUACCUUGCCUUAACAAUUUCCUAAUUAAUUAAUUUUGAUAGAGCAAUUUUGCAUUCCAUCCCUAUUAUUCAAAGAAUGUUUUGCGUUUCCUCAUCCCCCUCUACCAUUAAAGCAUUAUUGAUCUUUUUCCUAAUUUUUGUUAUUAUUGGGAAAUUCAUGGUUAUCGUCGUUGAUCUUGUGAAAUUUGAAAAGAGCCCAAAUCCUCAGGGUCGAAGACAUUUAUUGUUUGUCCGUUAAGACUAAUAAGCGUAUUAAAUUUAGAAAUGAAAACAAUCGUGAGAUCACAAUUAUUAUUUUAAUAAUUUUCGUCUGAGAUCGCGAAGGUUAUUUAUUUGGAUGAAUGAUAUUUCUCAAUCGGGAAGAGAUGACGUGGCAUGGUAAUUUUCAUCUAUAUACGGUGAGACGGGAUUAAUCCAAUCUCGGGUGCUGAAAGGCUUUGCGCAGAUGUGUGCAUUUCUUUCUUUCUUUUUUUUUUGUUUAUUCUCAGCGGGAGGUUACGGGCGUAACAUCAACGAAAGCGUUGAACACUCGUCUUAACCUCGCGUGACUUUAUUUUUAAACACGACGAAAAACAGAAGAUUCGUCAUCAGGGGGGCAGAAACCAAAAGAAAAUUUUCACCGUUGUGUUUUUUCAAAUGUAUUUUUAAAUCUAUCGCGUUAAUCACCGCCUCCAAAGUAUGUAUAAUACUGGAAUGAAGGUACAUUCUUAUCCUUUGUACUAUCGAAUCUAUUAAGACUUACAAACAACGAUACAAUUUUAUCUGAUUAUUAAUAAUACUUAGUAUUCAGAUUUUUUAUUAAACUUUUCAGACUACAUUUUUAUUUUUAUGUCUUACGAACGUCUUUGAUCGAGGAUUUAGACACUUGUCUCUUAAUGAAUUUCUUUUAUCAUUCAUAUGAAUAUAUACUUUGUAUGAAUUUUUAUACAUGUUUCCUAUAUAAAUUACUAUUUCUUUAAGAUGUGUAUAAAUACAUGUGCAAAGUUUAAAAAGAUAUUAUCGUUGGUAUUUUGUUUUGAAAUUCAUAAAAAAUCCCUUGAGUAUUUUGUUGUUGGGGACAUUCUUAAUAAAUAAAUGUAGGAUUAUUGUAGCUGUAUGCAAUAAAACUGCUAUCGUGGGAUAGAAUUAUUCAAACAAUUUGAUAUUCGAAUAUUUUGUAAGUAUUCGAAUACUAUAAAUAAAUUCUGAAUAUUUGAAUAUAGUAGUAUUCGAGGAAUGUUAUUCGACAUCUAAUAUUCAAAUUAUAAUAUUCAAUGAUACUUGAAUAUUAAUACUUAAAUGGAAAUAUUGAAAUAGUGAUAUUCGAAUACUGAUAGUCGAUCGGUAUUAUGCUAAUAAAGUAUUCGAAUACUAAUAGUUGAAUAGUAAGAUUUCAAAAAUAAUGUUCGAAUAGUAAUAUCACAAUAAUGAUAAUUCGAGAGUAAUUCAAUAAUGACAUUCGAAUGGUCAUAUUUGAAUAGUAAUAUUUAAAUAACGAUAUUCGAAUAUUGGUAUUUGAAUGUUAAUAUUGAAAUAAUAAUAAUUAAACAGAGAUAUUUAAAUAUCAAUAUUCGAAUGGUAAUAUUGGAAUAAUAAUAUUCGAACACAGAUAAUCAAGUACAGUGGGUGUAGAAAGUAUUCGUACACCAAUCAAUUUCCAAAAAAACUAUGUAAAAUUGUACUUUAUUAACUUAUUUUUUAUAAACAAUGACAUCCUACAUAUUCUCGGAAAUCUCUAGAAUAGAUAGAGUACAAAGAAAAAAAAUAGCUAUUUAUGUAAGUUGUGAAAUUAACAGGAAAAAGACAAUUAAUCGAUAAAAAUACUGAAGCAAUAAGUAUUCGCACAACUGUUUAAUUUUUAAGAUUUCAUUAAAAAAAAGAAGAAAUUUACAUUAAUUUAUAUAACAUUAAUUUAUAUAUAUUUAAUAUAUAUGUUAUUACCGCACAACUGUUUAAUUUUUAAGAGUUAAUUUAAAAAAAAAAAAGAAAUUUACAUUAAUUUAUAAGUAUAUAAUACUUUCUUCGUGGGAUUUCCUUUUGAUUUUAUAAUCAUUGUAACUCUUCUAAGCAUUAAAUUAACUGAAUUAUUAGUUAUUCGAAGUGGGAUCUUUUUCCAUUUCACUAUUAGAGCCAUCUGUAAAAGUACUUUCCUGGAAAUUUGAUGUUUUCUAAUUCGUACGUAGCAAUAAACUAAUGUGUUUACGUUACAAACUCUACUAUAAAUGGAUCGUCAUAAGAAUUGUACAAAAACUUAUUGCUUCUAUACUUUUACCGACUUUUCGCAUUUUUUUGUUAAUUUCACAAAUUAUAUUAACUAGCAAAUGUUGUUUGGACUAUAUCUAUCUAUAUCUAUCUUAUAGAUUUCCAAGAAUAUGUAAUAUAUCAUUGAUUAUAAAAAAAGAAGUUAAGAAACUACAAUUUCCUCCAAAUUUUGGGGGGAAAUUGAUCGGUGUACGAAUACAUUCUACACCCACUGUAUAAAUAUUCAAACAGUAUUAUUCAAGUAAUAGCAUUCAAAUACUGGUAUCGAACUAACGAUAAUCCAAUAGAAACCUAAAAUAGUGCCACUGGAAUAGUGAUAUUGAAUCAAAAAUAUUCAAAGUAUUCUAUUUGAAUAAUAAUAUUCCAAUACCAAUAUCCAAUUACACAAAUAUUAAAAUUUCUAACCCAUAUCCUAAUGCCCAGAAAAUAUUCCAAAGUCAAAUAAUUGAAAUACUCUUAUCCCUGGAUCGACCACGAAAGUUCUCCAAAGCACAUCCUCGGAGUCCUUCGUGAUGGACGUUCUCCGUUGCGACGUGCAACGCGGAAGCCCCAUCUAGCAUUCCGCGAGCUUGCUAUUAACCACGGGCAGGUCAUUAUUCUAGAGAACGAGGUGACGGCGGUGGUAGCCGUGUGGUAGUUUCCCACUCAAAAUGCAAAAACCCGAACGACAGGGCGACGUGGGAGGGGGUAACGGUGAUGCAUGCACCGGGUAACCGAACGUCCCGACGCCGAAGAAACCGUGGUGGGGAAACUUGUGCCUGACGCCACACCACGCACACCUCUACCCCAAGCUUAGUCUAGCCUUAAUAGUCAUCCACUGGAAGCCGAAGACGAAGAGCGAGCUACGAGGACCAGUCUCGGGAUAAAACGUGUUUCAUCUCGCCCUGCCGCUUCGACUCUACUUCUUUCUACGAUUUUCUCAGCGACACUGCUUUAUUUCGUGCUACGGUCGCUCUGGUGAAGUGUUUGCGUCUUGGUCGUGCCAGUGAAACAAAGUGAAACAAUGUUGGUUGACAGUUGGGGCUGCCUUCGAUCGGAUCCGUUCGUUUGAAACUCGUUUCGAACCCGGUUCGAUGGAAGUGCAGCCGCGUUUGAACUGGACACGUCCAACUUCUGAGCGGCACGGAGCGUCGCGAAGGUGGUGUUUCGAUUCGUGCUCUUACGGUGAGUUCUUCGCGGUGUCUACGGUGCGGAAUUUCACGCAGAAAGCGAUCAGUGACAGUUUCGCCGGGCGAAAUUCAGCGUGGAAUCUCGCGAUUCGUGCGCAGGAGUGAAUAUAUAGUUACUUUAUAAUUGUACAAAACGAGGGUUCGACGCAAUUACGGUUUAUAACAAGGUGCGAUUGUUCACCGAGCUACGGGACCCCGUACGCAAAUGUAACGCAAUAUCGUAUGAGUAGAAUUUCUUUUUUUAAGAGGAAUGAUUCAUGUAUUGUCUAGAACGAGGCGUUGUUUAUUGUACUUGGUCCCGUUACUCAGGUGUGCGUAUGACACAGAAACAGUGAUACACGUCGUUCUCGAGGAUGACACACAAAUUUUAUUGGAUGAUUCACGGACGAUUGGAGUGGUCAUGUACAGAAAUAAAAAUAAAAUCGCCAGACAACGUUUAGCCAAACGUGGUUGUCCCUGACCUUCUUCUUCCCCCUUUCAAUUCUAAUUUGUCCCAAUUUUUCUCCUUUCAGGCACUGUUGUCUCCUUCAUUUCUUCUUCUUCUUCUUCUUCAGCUGCCAGUGAUUCAUGUGUUUUCGUUUGAACAAUUAAUUUAACGAUGGGUGACUAAUUACAAUUAUUAUAAACGACGUGCCCUCCAAGACUGUUUUUCGAAUUUCGUGGGAUUUGGGAAUUACAAUAAUUGCAACAACUGUGUUCUAUUUCAAAUAAAUUGCAUUUCGAUGGCAUUAAUUUAACUGGGGUACAAAUAAGAUUGAAAAUAGAUUUUUGUACUCUUUGAAGUUUUUAAGAGGUUGUGUGGGAAUAAUUGAAAUAAUAAUACAGAAAUGUUUACAAGGUGCAGAGAAAUCCGUGAGUUCGAGGGGUACCCUUUAUUGCAUGAAAUUUAUUUAAUUUAUCAAGGAGAAAUUAUUUUUAGAUUAUUCAUACAUCUGUGAAGUAUAUAAUUCUCACUCUGAACAGUAGUGAGGAUUAUUUUUAUUAAAUAAAAUUAUUAUUACUAACAAUGGCUAAAUUUGUAGAAAUAUUGGAUGAAAUUAUACAAUUUUUUGAAUGAAAUUUACAGAAACGUUUUUAUUUUUUGUCUUACAUAUGCAAUAAAGGGUAAACGUGAUACUCCAAGUAGAAAUGGGCAAAAUUUUCAUCGAGGUACAAAAUUUCGAAUAAAUAAUUGAAGAUAAACAAUUCAGUUGCAAUCUACAUUAUUAUUGACUCGACCAGUAAAACUGCAUCAUCUAGUUGCAACUAUUUACCUACUUAAAAAUUGCACUGUUGUAUUAAUUCUACCCGUAGACAGUAUAAUUCAAACGUCUCAAAGUAUUACAUUUUUGAAAAAUAAUUAAGAAAACUAAUUUUUCAAAAACUAUAUAACGUAACAGAGUUGUUAAUGACUCAAGACUAAAGACUCGAUGCUACUAUAUGUAACUAAUCUUUAACAGAAUCUAAUCAUGGCUCGGAUUGAGUAGAAUUGAUGUAAAUAAAAAUCUUCAAAUAUGAAAUUCAGAAGAAUAAUAAAUAAAACAAAGGAUUGAACAAAUGCGAAUAUAUCGUUGUAUUUUUCAUUCGUCAUUUGAGAUUCGAAUAAAAUACUGCCCAUGUCUGCUCGAGAGUUCCCUCGAAACUUGGUUUGCGCGGAGAGUCGAGCUGCGGAUUUACCAGAAAUAAUUUCUUCCCGCCUUUCAGAGUGCGCUGACACGCGCUCCGCCGUAUUAUUUCUGGCAUGGUUGAAUCACUGGCAGCUGGGACGGCCGAAAUAGUCGGCUUGGUCGGCCUGCUCCCUUCUGAGACUGACGAACGACGACGUCGACGAGUCUCGGUGGGGGUGGGUCUCGAGGAUCGAAGACGAAGGUGAGCCACGGAAAAGAACCUCCGUCGGGAUGAAUCACCGCGUUCUUUUUCGAUACCCCUUGACAGAUGCUUCGGAUCGCCGCUUGGCAGUUGUCUUCGUGGCUUCAGGUGGUCGUUUCUUCAAGGUCGUUGUCACCCCAACGUCGAGGAAUCGAACGCCAUUCCCUCGAAUCGCGAUACUCGAUGUUUUCGUUACGAAAUUAAUAUAGUACGUCCUCGAGUUACGCAGAUUUAUAGAUCCCUAUGUUUGCUAUUUAUGUAUGCAUACAGAGUGUGUAUAUAUAUAUCCAUGUGCUCAGAUAUUAAAUGCAGUAGAAGAUCGAUUAUCGAAAUUAAGGAGGAGGCAAAAUAUUUGUAAAGAAUAAAGAAUAAGUCUUACUUACAAUGUAUUUUGUUCAUCGUAAUAUGAAAUUAAAUUGUUAAACUAAAAUUUCCAUGUUUGGUAAGUUUGGAAAUAAACAAGAUGCUUGGUACAAUAUAGAUGUAUUGUGUUAUUGAUUAAUAAUUUUAUCGUAAAUGAAGUUUUAUAUAUUAACAUCUUUCUUGUUCCUGAAUUUUGAGUACUCUUCAGAAAAUCUACCAGUAUAUAAUUUUCUUCGAAAAUCAUUAAACUCGUUUACGUCCAACUAAUAUUUUUUCUGAGUUUUCAUGUAAUUCCUAAAAAAAUUGAAAUUUGAACAGCUGCUAUAAAUUGUGUUCAUUCAGUUACAAUAUCGAACAAUUUAGAGUUAACGUUAGAGUGACCUAUCUUGUUUCUUUCAAUAAUCAGUCUUCUCUUUAAUCGACGUUCUACUGUUGAAGUUUCGAUUUCUAUGACAAAGGAUCUGUUUAACUUUCACCCAUUUUUGCAAGGAAGAUUAUUUAUUAAAUCUAUUGUACGGAGAAAGAAAGAUCAGUGUUGCAAGGAGAUACAAACCAUACAGACAUUUCAAUCAGCUUUUCUAAAGUCUGCAGUUAAUCAUUUUUAAUCUGAGGCACCAUCUUGAUAGUCGACACUUCAGAUCCUGAUCUCAUACGGCAGGGAUUGUACGCUUGAAAUAAAUUUAAUAAGCCUCGAAGACAGAUGGAACGACGAUGUAAGUUUUCUUGGUUCCUACCCAGCCAGCCCCAAUGCGACGUAUCUUUAUUUAUGGCCAACGCGAACGUGCCAGGUGUUCUGAUACAUUCUUUCUUCUGCCACGAUCUCGCAAUUAACGCUUUGUUGUUGGGGAGGCGUGCUGCUCGACAAAGGUGAUCGACAUAGUAGUUAUGAUUCUCAUUACAAUUCGACCUACAUUAUACGAAAUAAUAUACGGAGAAUUGUAUAACAGCUACAUCGAAUUGAGUACGUGCUCUAAAAUAAACGAGAUAGGUAUCAUUCGAAAGAUAGUUGCCUGGAAAUGGGUAUUUUGGGAAUUCCAAGUCCUCCCCACUUUAAAGAGAUAGAUAGUACUUGUAGAAAUUAAUUCUGUGCGAUUUUUGAAUAAAUUUAUGAUUUAUUUAUAAAGGAAAACCAACCAAAAUAAUUUUUAAGUUGAUUUGUAAUUUGUUAGAAGAAUGACUAUGGGUGAAAUUUAAAAUUGAGAUAGUUUAUGUAUUUAGAUUCUUUGUAAUGGAAAUUAGGCUGAGGACUUGGAAGGCUGUGGUAACGUAUCAAAUUCAUGAGUAAAUAUUUCUAUUUAAACUGUAUUUUUAUGUAUGUGAAUAUAAAGGAACAGAAUUAAUUUCUAGGCUUAAUAGAUUCUUUUAAAAUGAUACACAGAUCUAUAACGAUAUUUAUUUGAAGAAGGAGAUUAAAUAGAAAAGAAAUGUAAUGAAAGGUCAAAGAAAGUAUUAAUAUGGUAACCGAUGCAAAAGUUUCAGUUUAGUUGUGCUACUUUAGGUUAGAAAGGAUUAAGAUUCUACUACCAGUUCGAGUUGCUAGAUAGCUAGAUUGUUCAGGACAGAAUCCAAUUAAGAUUUUGCGCGAUGCUCGACAGAAAAGGGGUCGUUUUGGCCUACGAAAACGUGCUUAAUUACGACGACCCGAUCCGUUCUACCCCCCUUUCGCAAUUAAUCAGACGAACGGCCGAGAUUAACGCGCCGGAUUCACGGUCUAAUUUUGCGUUGGGUCGUAACGGUGUAGAAUGAUGAAGUACUGCAAGAAGCUACGAAGAGUGGCACUGAUUGAUGUUCACGAUGUAAGAGAAAUCUGUCAUUAUGUUCAUAAAUUGCCUUUUCGUUAAAGCAUCGAUAUUAGUCACGAGUCCAUGCUACACGAAAUCUUGCUCGAUAGUGAAGUAACCUUUCUCAAAAAUUAUUGAUCAGUUUAAACUGAAUUAUUUAAAUAUUCGUCUAAUAUGUCUUUUUACAUUUGUACAUAUUUUUCUAUAGUUAAUUGUCUAUAAUUUCACGUAGCUCUGAAGUCAUUAUUUGCAUUUUUGAAGUUUGAUUCAAUCCUACUAUCGAUAUGUAUUAAUUGUGAUUUUUGAACAAUAGUGUUGUUUAUAAACAAGCUAUUUUAUUUAUUGAAUAGCGUUUAUAUAAACUAUAAAUAUGAAUAUUAAACGUCCUUAUUGUGCACAUAAUUUCAUUAUAUUUAAAAUAAAUAUUUCGUCCUGUUCGGUAUGACGAUAUAUAUACAUAGUUUACAAAUACAAAUGGAACAAGAAAAAAAUAAAAGAAAGAUCGUUAGUUUUUAUAAAUAUAUUUUGUCUCAGUAAAAUGUUAAAUAUAACAUAAUAAUGCAAGACUGGAUUUUAACGGUCUUGCAGAAUAGGUUUUUUGCGAGGCAGUGGUACUGUUACCACGCAUUGAAAUCACUCGCGUGGCGUUCGUGUUAACCCUUUGCACUCCACUUGCGUGGCUACAACGUCGAACAUAAUAUGCAUCACAUUUCAGUUUAAGUAUUAUUCAUGGUAACACAAAGUAAGUCAAUGAAAUGAACGAAUGAAAAUUAAAUUAAGAGCAUUUAUAUAUUUUUGUAGGAAAAAUUCUCAGACUGCAAGGGUUAAUGUCAUGACUCACGAUUUUAUUAGACAAUAAUUAGCUACAUUAUUAAUUUAAAUUUUGUCAUUUUUAUAAUGCGAGAAAAAUUGUUAUUUUAGCUCACACAAAACGUGUUCGUAAUAUUAUUAAUAUUAAAAAUUAAUUUGAGUGGUACAAAAUUAUAACCAUCAGUGAAAUAAUUUUUUCAGAAUUACCAGUAUGUUAUUUUCCAGUCUAUUCGUUAUAGCGAACAUUGUGUGUUAUAUCUUUCGUGCUCAUUUUUUAUAUACAG